rnacentral:ncRNA from 5 species
UGCCGUGAUCGUCUAGUGGUUAGGAC